AUACGGAGGGUGCAAGCGUUGUUCGGAAUUACUGGGCGUAAAGCGCGUGUAGGCGGCGGGGCAAGUCGCAUGUGAAAGCCCGGGGCUCAACCCUGGAACUGCAUCCGAAACUGCCACGCUAGAGUCCCGGAGAGGAAGGCAGAAUUCCCAGUGUAGGGGUGAAAUCCGUAGAUAUUGGGAGGAAUACCAGUGGCGAAGGCGGCCUUCUGUACGGUGACUGACGCUCAGACGCGAAAGCGUGGGGAGCAAACAGGAUUAGAAACCCCAGUAGUCC
rnacentral:rRNA from 1 species